GAUGAACGCUGGCGGCGUGCCUAAUACAUGCAAGUCGAGCGAACGGACGAGAAGCUUGCUUCUCUGAUGUUAGCGGCGGACGUGUGAGUAACACGUGGAGAACCUACCUAUAAGACUGGGAUAACUUCGGGAAACCGGAGCUAAUACCGGAUAAUAUUUUGAAUCGCAUGGUUCAAAAGUGAAAUACGGUCUUGCUGUCACUUAUAGAUGGAUCCGCGCUGCAUUAGAUAGUUGGUAAGGUAACGGCUUACCAAGGCAACGAUGCAUAGCCGACCUGAGAGGGUGAUCGGCCACACUGGAACUGAGACACGGUCCAGACUCCUACGGGAGGCAGCAGUAGGGAAUCUUACGCAAUGGGCGAAAGCCUGACGGAGCAACGCCGCGUGAGUGAUGAAGGUCUUCGGAUCGUAAAACUCUGUUAUUAGGGAAGAACAAAUGUGUAAGUAACUGUGCACAUCUUGACGGUACCUAAUCAGAAAGCCACGGCUAACUACGUG
rnacentral:rRNA from 1 species